rnacentral:rRNA from 1 species
UACGGAGGGGGCUAGCGUUGUUCGGAAUUACUGGGCGUAAAGCGCACGUAGGCGGCUUUGUAAGUUAGAGGUGAAAGCCCGGGGCUCAACUCCGGAAUUGCCUUUAAGACUGCAUCGCUAGAAUUGUGGAGAGGUAAGUGGAAUUCCGAGUGUAGAGGUGAAAUUCGUAGAUAUUCGGAAGAACACCAGUGGCGAAGGCGGCUCACUGGGUCAUUACUGACGCUGAGGCACGAAAGCGUGGGGAGCAAACAGG